rnacentral:tRNA from 1 species
GGUGCUGUGGCUCAAGUGGUAGAGCACUAGCCUUCAGCAAAAGAAGCUCAGGGACAGUGCCCAGGCUCUGAGUUAAAACCCCAGCACCACCA